GGCAGAGUAGGGAUAAAUGCGUUAAGUGCUUGAUACACGGGAAGUUGGUAUCUUGACGAAAAACUAUUAUAGUUUGCGGUGUUUAUCUCGCAUUCCGCUGCC
rnacentral:ncRNA from 2 species